UGUUCUAACCAACUGCGCCACCCAACCAGGGCCAAAUCCUGGGUUUAAAGAAAAGAAACAUCUAUAAAGGACAUUUGGGAACCCUGGGAGAAAUCCCGUACUUAUUCGCCUGGCACGGAGGGUGACCUCAGCAAGUAGCGCGUGAACCAGGAGGCGAGUUCGGAGCACCCGAUCGAUCCGGAGCCUUUAUGAAGCUUUUACAGCGUUCCCAACAAUGCUUCGUCCUGGGCUCUGUCUGCGCCAACACAGGAUUUACGCAACACCUGCUGUCUGCCUCCCCUACCGUGCGGUGUCUGGGCACCCCACUCAGUCCCUAGGCUGAUGAAGGGCCUAUUUUUCCAAAGGAACAUUUGCCGCGCAAGUACUGCGUGCUUAGCUGUGAUGUGGCAGGGAGAAGGAAGCCCAGAUGAAGCUGGACCCCCGCCGUCACCUGAGGAGCUAAGGAAAACAGGCUCUAAUCAGAUUAGUGCUUGCCUGUAUGGAGCUGGGCGAGUCAUGCCCACUCACCAGGCUUUGGUGUCCCUUUCUCUUAAACAAAAGAAUGGGAUUAGCAGUUCUUUGCUUGGAAAUACCGGUGGCAAUUGAAGAGCAACGUGUGUCUCCCCUCUUUAAAAUAAAUGUUAACGUGAAGUUAAA